rnacentral:rRNA from 1 species
GACGAACGCUGGCGGCGUGCUUAACACAUGCAAGUCGAACGGUAAGGCCCUUCGGGGUACACGAGUGGCGAACGGGUGAGUAACACGUGGGUGAUCUGCCCUGCACUUCGGGAUAAGCCUGGGAAACUGGGUCUAAUACCGGAUAGGACCACUGCCUGCAUGGGUGGUGGUGGAAAGCUUUUGCGGUGUGGGAUGGGCCCGCGGCCUAUCAGCUUGUUGGUGGGGUGAUGGCCUACCAAGGCGACGAAGGGUAGCCGGCCUGAGAGGGUGACCGGCCACACUGGGACUGAGAUACGGCCCAGACUCCUACGGGAGGCAGCAGGGGGGAAUAAUGCACAAUGGGCGCAAGCCUGAUGCAGCGACGCCGCGUGAGGGAUGACGGCCUUCGGGUUGUAAACCUCUUUCAGCACCGACGAAGCGCAAGUGACGGUAGGUGCAGAAGAAGGACCGGCCAACUACGUGCCAGCCGCCGCGGUAA